AUUGAACGCUGGCGGCAUGCUUUACACAUGCAAGUCGAACGGUAACAGGCCGCAAGGUGCUGACGAGUGGCGAACGGGUGAGUAAUGCAUCGGAACGUGCCCAGUCGUGGGGGAUAACGCAGCGAAAGCUGCGCUAAUACCGCAUACGAUCUAUGGAUGAAAGCGGGGGACCGUAAGGCCUCGCGCGACUGGAGCGGCCGAUGUCAGAUUAGGUAGUUGGUGGGGUAAAGGCUCACCAAGCCAACGAUCUGUAGCUGGUCUGAGAGGACGACCAGCCACACUGGGACUGAGACACGGCCCAGACUCCUACGGGAGGCAGCGGUGGGGAAUUUUGGACAAUGGGCGCAAGCCUGAUCCAGCAAUGCCGCGUGCAGGAAGAAGGCCUUCGGGUUGUAAACUGCUUUUGUACGGAACGAAACGGCUCUCUCUAAUACAGGGGGUUAAUGACGGUACCGUAAGAAUAAGCACCGGCUAACUACGUGCCAGCCGCCGCAGUAAGAC
rnacentral:rRNA from 1 species